rnacentral:rRNA from 1 species
AAAGGUGUGCUAAUACCGCAUAAUCUCUCAGGAGAAAAGCAGGGGAUCGCAAGACCUUGCGCUUUAGGAGCGGCCGAUGCCUGAUUAGCUUGUUGGUAAGGUAAAAGCUUACCAAGGCUUCUAUCAGUAGCUGGUCUGAGAGGACGACCAGCCACACUGGGACUGAGAUACGGCCCAGACUCCUACGGGAGGCAGCAGUGGGGAAUUUUGGACAAUGGGGGAAACCCUGAUCCAGCCAUGCCGCGUGAGUGAAGAAGGCCUUCGGGUUGUAAAGCUCUUUCAGCCGGAACGAAACGGUUACGAUUAAUACUUGUAAUUAAUGACGGUACCGGCAGAAGAAGCACCGGCUAACUACGUGCCAGCAGCCGCGGUAAUACGUAGGGUGCGAGCGUUAAUCGGAAUUACUGGGCGUAAAGGGUGCGCAGGUGGUUUUGUAAGUCAGAUGUGAAAUCCCCGGGCUUAACCUGGGAACUGCGUUUGAAACUACAAGGCUAGAGUAUGGCAGAGGGGGGUGGAAUUCCGCGUGUAGCAGUGAAAUGCGUAGAUAUGUGGAGGAACACCGAUGGCGAAGGCAGCCCCCUGGGUCAAUACUGACGCUGAGGCACGAAAGCAUGGGGAGCAAACAGGAUUAGAUACCCUGGUAGUCCAUGCCCUAAACGAUGUCAACUAGUUGUCGGGCCUUUACGGGCUUGGUAACGUAGCUAACGCGUGAAGUUGACCGCCUGGGGAGUACGAUCGCAAGAUUAAAACUCAAAUGAAUUGACGGGGACCCGCACAAGCGGUGGAUUAUGUGGAUUAAUUCGAUGCAACGCGAAAAACCUUACCUACCCUUGACAUGUAUCGAAGCCCGCAGAAAAGCGGAGGUGCCCGAAAGGGAACGAUAACACAGGUGCUGCAUGGCUGUCGUCAGCUCGUGUCGUGAGAUGUUGGGUUAAGUCCCGCAACGAGCGCAACCCUUGUCAUUAAUUGCCAUCAUUUAGUUGGGCACUUUAAUGAGACUGCCGGUGACAAACCGGAGGAAGGUGGGGAUGACGUCAAGUCCUCAUGGCCCUUA